rnacentral:rRNA from 1 species
CUUAAAGGAAUUGACGGGACCCGCACAAGCGGUGGAUGAUGUGGUUUAAUUCGAUGCAACGCGAAAACCUUACCCACCUUUGACAUGUACGGAAUCCUUUAGAGAUAGAGGAGUGCUCGAAAGAGAACCGUAACACAGGUGCUGCAUGGCUGUCGUCAGCUCGUGUCGUGAGAUGUUGGGUUAAGUCCCGCAACGAGCGCAACCCUUGUCAUUAGUUGCUACAUUCAGUUGGGCACUCUAAUGAGACUGCCGGUGACAAACCGGAGGAAGGUGGGGAUGACGUCAAGUCCUCAUGGCCCUUAUAGGUGGGGCUACACACGUCAUACAAUGGAUGGUACAAAGGGUCGCCAACCCGCGAGGGGGAGCCAAUCCCAUAAAGCCAUUCGUAGUCCGGAUCGCAGUCUGCAACUCGGCUGCGUGAAGUCGGAAUCGCUAGUAAUCGUGGAUCAGAAUGUCACGGUGAAUACGUUCCCGGGUCUU